GACGAACGCUGGCGGCGUGCUUAACACAUGCAAGUCGAACAGAAAGGCCCUGCUUUUGUGGGGUGCUCGAGUGGCGAACGGGUGAGUAACACGUGAGUAACCUGCCCUUGACUUUGGGAUAACUUCAGGAAACUGGGGCUAAUACCGGAUAGGAGCUCCUGCUGCAUGGUGGGGGUUGGAAAGUUUCGGCGGUUGGGGAUGGACUCGCGGCUUAUCAGCUUGUUGGUGGGGUAGUGACUUACCAAGGCUUUGACGGGUAGCCGGCCUGAGAGGGUGACCGGCCACAUUGGGACUGAGAUACGGCCCAGACUCCUACGGGAGGCAGCAGUGGGGAAUAUUGCACAAUGGGCGGAAGCCUGAUGCAGCAACGCCGCGUGCGGGAUGACGGCCUUCGGGUUGUAAACCGCUUUCGCCUGUGACGAAGCGUGAGUGACGGUAAUGGGUAAAGAAGCACCGGCUAACUACGUG
rnacentral:rRNA from 1 species